UGAAAAAGGGUGUCAAGGAACCUCUUAGUUGUUCUGAGGAAGCCCUCCAAAGCUUCGAAGAAAUUAAGAGGAUAUUUUCAAACCCCCCUGUCCUAAAAUUACCAGAUAUUAAUAAAAUAUUUUGUCUCCGAACAGAUGCCUCCCAUUCUGGACUCGGGGCUGUACUACUUCAAUAUUAUGAGGAGACACCUUUCCCAGUAUCUUUCGCCAGUAAGAAGCUUCUGCCCAGAGAAGAAAGAUAUUCCACUGUGGAGAAAGAAUGUUAUGCUUUAGUAUGGGGUAUAAGCAGAUUUAAAUACUACCUAUACGGUAAACCCUUUGUGCUUGAAACAGAUCACAAGCCACUGAUGUACUUGGAAAACUUUAAAGGGUCAAAUAGCAGACUCUUGAGAUGGGCUCUGGCUAUUCAGCCCUAUAAGUUUAAAGUCGUUUAUAUUUCUGGCUCUGAAAACCACUUUUCAGAUUGGCUGAGCCGAGGUUGUAGUUAGUUCUUUUCCCUCUGUUCGUUGACUUAUUGACUCCGUCCAUAAGUUUUGGAAGGGGGUAUUGUGAGGGAAAAGUAGGUGUAAGUGGGGUUAAGGUUGUUCGGGCAACCAGGAACCAUUAGUUACGUCGCGUGCACCCCCCCCCCUCCUCUCUGGCGGGCUGGGGCGAAACUAGUUCCUGGUGUCCGAUUUGUUAGUUUCUACUCCUGGUAAUAUUGACCUUACCUGGUGUGGGUUGAAGUUUGGAGAGUCACUUCACCUCCACUCUUCUCCUAAUCAGCUCUGUUCCUGGCGUGGUCUUCCAGGAUAGACGCCAGAUAAAGGAGCAAGACAUGUUAAUAAUACUUAUUAACAUUAUUCUACUACUACCGGCCCUUACCUAUUCUACUUGUGCUCCAUCCAAGUGGUAGGAGAUUCCAGAACAUCGGAUUACCAUCUGCCCAGGAUAACCUACAUAAAUAACAUCAGAGGAACUAUCCAGGGCCAUACCUACUCCUACCCAACUACAAGAACUGAAGGCCAUUUUUUUUUUA